GCUCCAAAAAUUCAGACAUGGUGGCCUACACCUGUAGUCCCAGCUACUCAGGAAGCUGAGGCAGGAGUAUCACUUGAAUCUAGGAGUUCUGGGCUGGAGUGUGCUGUGCCUGUCAGGUGUCCGCACUAAGUUUGGCAUCAGCAUGGUGACCUCCUGGGAGAGGGAGACCGCCAGGUUGCAUAAGGAGGGGUGAACCAGCCCAAAUUGGAAACAGAGCAGGUCAAAACUCCCAUGCUGAUGAGUAGUGGGGUUGCGCCUGUGAAUAGCCAUGGCACUUCAGCCUGGCGACAUAGCAAGACCCCAUCUCU
ensembl:misc_RNA Metazoa_SRP Metazoan signal recognition particle RNA